AUGGAGGCAACGGUGCUGAGCGUGGGCAAGUCCGUGGUGAGCGGAGCUGUUAGCUACGCCCAAUCCGCCGUCGCAAAGGAGGUGGCGCUGCAGCUGGGAGUGCAGCGCGACCAGGCCUUCAUCAGGGACGAGCUCGAGAUGAUGCAGUCCUUCCUGAUGGCUGCACAGGAUGAGCGAGACAACAACAAGGUGGUCAAGACCUGGGUCAAGCAGGUCCGCGACCUGGGCUACGAUGUGGAGGACUGCCUCCAGGACUUUGUCGUUCGCUUCGAGAAGUCGCCCAGCUGGUGGCGGAUCCUGAGCACGCUGCUUGACCGGCGCCAUGUGGCCAUGGAGAUGAAGGACCUCCGAGCCAAGGUCGAGGAUGUCAGCCAGAGGAACCUGCGGUACCACCUCAUCAGGGGGACAGCUGCUGGUUCGAAGUCCGUGGCCACCACUGUUGAGCAGUACUCUGCAGGAAGCAAGGCCAGUGCUACAAUGUUUGGUGUUGACGAAGCGAGGCGUGCCGUGAAGCCGAGGGUACAUCUUGCCCAGCUCAUCAACAAAGAGCAGGGCAAGGAUCUUAGAGUGAUUGUGGUGUGGGGAACAUGUGGUGUUCUUGGGAAGGCAUCUGUCAUAAGGCAGGCGUAUGAUGAUUCGGAUAACUUCGAAUGUCGUGCCUGGAUUAACCUUACACAUCCUUUCGACCCAAUUGUGUUCAUGCAAAGCAUUAUGAGGCAGUUCUAUGGAUAUUCUUCUUCUCUUUCAGAAUUAGCAACUGAGGGACGAAGUUGUAGAGAAAGAGCAAGCGCUAUAGGGGCUGAAGUUCUCAAGAAGAUGCUGCUGAUGAAGCAAGAAGAUUUGGUUGACGAGUUCAAUGAGCAUGUGAAUAAUAAGAUUUACCUGAUUGUUCUUGACGACCUGUGUAGCAUACAAGAUUGGGACUGGGUUAGAACGUACUUUCCUUCCAACAGUAAUGGUAACCGGAUCAUUGUGGCCACACAAGAAGUUGAAGUUGCAAGCUUAUGCAUCGGCCGGAACUGCCAAGUCUCAGAGCUUAAGCAAGUAUCCGAUGAUCAAACUCUCUAUGUUUUCUACCUCAAGAGCCCUCAAGGUGGAGGAAAUUUAAUGGAGCCAGAGUCCAGCUCAAACGCGACCGCCAGUGUCACCAAUAAUAGAACAAACUCUUCGCUGCCCACCUGUGAGAUACCAGCUGGUGAUCAAGCUAAAGAUGACACCGGUGGACAUAAUGCCAUCAAAAGGAGCCUCAGCCACAUUAUGUCGACGACGGCUAUUCUGGAGGGAUCUGAAGUUGUUGGAAGGGAGAGAGAAAAAUCUCACAUCCUCAAACUAAUUGCGGAUCCAGAAAACAAAGUUCAGGUUAUCUCUGUGUGGGGAAUGGGUGGUCUCGGGAAAACUGCUCUAGUCAAAGAUAUCUAUGAAAGCCGAGAACUCAGUGGCGUAUUUAACAAGCAUGCUUUUCUCAGUAUCAUGAGCCCUUUCUGUUAUGAGGUACUCCUUUGGAGUUUAGCUAUCCAACUAGGGGUGGCAGAAACUAGUGGUGGCACGGUGUACUCAUCGCGCAGAGAGGUUGAAGGACUGAAGUAUGAUCUGGCAAAUUUUCUGAGAGAAAAGAGGUGCUUGAUUGUUCUCGACGACUUGUCAUCUACCACAGAAUGGGACAUGAUAAUGCAAAUUUUUCAUCAUUAUGAAAAUGGAAGUCAAAUCAUUGUCACCACAAGAGAAGAAAGUAUUGCUAAUUAUUGUUCAAGACAUCAAGAAAAUGUAUACAAGCUCAGAGGUCUAGAUAAGAAGCAUGCACUUGUCUUCUUCACCAAAAAGGUAUUCAAGGAAAAUGAAUGUUCGUACCGGCAGUAUCCUGAGUUGGUUGAACAAGCAGAACAAAUCUUGAAGAAGUGCAAUGGUCUUCCUCUUGCAAUAAUCGCCAUAGCUGGCUUCUUGGCAAACCAACCAAAAACUGUCACGGAGUGGAGAAAACUGAAUGAGAGUCUCAGUAGUGAGUUGGAGGUGAAUGCAGAGCUUGACACCAUAAGAACAGUCCUUCUCAAAAGCUAUGAUGGUUUACCCUAUCAUCUCAAGGCGUGUUUCUUGUAUCUGGCAAUCUUUCCUGCAAACUACAAGAUUAGUCUAACACGUUUGUUGCGGCGGUGGAUCGCAGAGGGCUACUCAACAGAGGUGCGCGGCAAGUCUUCCUAUGAAAUAGCAGAAAGCUACUUCAUGGACCUCAUAAGCAGGAGCAUGAUCCUGCCAUCUUGGCGAUCAAGUCAUAGUAGAAAAGAAAUGGACUCUUGCCAACUCUAUGAUAUCAUCCGUGAAGUAGUCAUCUCGAAGUCCAUGGAGGAAAAUCUUGUUUUCAGAUUGGAGGCAGGUUGCGGCUUAAACAGCCCCGUCACAACACGUCACCUCUCUGUAAGCAACGACUGGAACGGAGAUGAAAGUGAAUUUGAGGGUACAGUUGACCUGUCUCGUGUCAGAUCCCUAACGAUUUUUGGUAAGUGGAGGCCAUUCUUCAUUUCUGACAAGAUGAGGUUGCUGAGGGUGCUGGACCUGGAAAACACUACAGGUCUGGUUGAUCAUCAUCUCAAGCACGUUGGGAAGCUUUUCCACUUGAGAUACCUUUCCCUGAGAGGUUGUCAUGGAAUUUAUCACUUGCCAGGUUCUUUGGGUAACCUGAGGCAGCUCCAAACACUAGAUGUCAUGGGUACAAACAUAAUCAAGCUGCCAAAGACCAUCAUCAAGCUCAGAAAGCUACAACACGUUCGUGCCAGGGGUGUCGGGAGCAACGAUGAAUGUGUCUAUGAAGAAUAUCCAGAUGGGUUGCCGAAGCUGAUGAGGAAUAAGCUAUGCAUCCUGACAUCCUCCACGGUGGGGUUCUGCGUGGCAUGCUGUGCGCCACAGCUCCUGAAGGAUUGCAUGGACAUUGACGGGGACACAAACAGGCGCGACGUCUGCACCGUGUGCUGCUGCUCCUAUAUGCCGAUGUUGAUGACACGUCGGAGCCCACGCGGUGUUGCGGUGCCCAGAGGAAUCUACAGGCUCAAAGCCCUGCACACGUUGGCUCUCGUGAACAUCUCAAGGGGGAAGGCCGCUCUGCGAGAGGUAGAGAAGCUCACCGGUCUGCGCAAGUUGGGUGUGACUGGCAUUGACAAGAGCAACGCCAGAGAGCUAUGUUCGGCCAUGGCUAGCCUCAGCUGUCUACAGACACUGCUGGUGCAGUCGGAGGGUAAGCCGGGUUUAUCUGGCUGCUUGGAUGGCCUGUCCUCACCUCCUGCAAACCUCGAAAGCCUGAAGCUGUAUGGCAACCUGGUCAAAUUGCCGGCAUGGUUCGACGGCGGGCUAAAAAAUCUUGCCAAGCUCAAGCUGCGGAGUUCCAGGAUAGAGGACCAUGAUGCCACCAUACAAGUCCUUGGGAGUCUACCGAACCUAGCCAUCCUGCGUCUAUGGAAAGAGUCAUUCACGGGUGAAGAGGUUCAUCUUCAUUUCGAACAGGGCGCAUUCCAGACCCUAAUACUGCUUGAGCUGAGUUCCCCAGGUAAGCUCAAAUCUGUGGUGUUUGAAGAUGGAGCAACACCUAAGCUUGAGCUGCUGCAGUAUUCCGAUCAGCGUAAUGAAGACGUCGUUUGGGAAGAAAAUGAUGACAAUCAGUCUGAAGAAUCAUCCAGAGUUGGGUUGUUUUCUGGCCUAGCUUCUCUGGGAAACCUCAAGGAAUUUCUGUUCAAGGCUGGCAACUACAAGGGUGACUUUGUGAGAAACUUGCGAUCCCAGCUUGAGUCGAACCCGAGACGGCCUCUUCUUAAGAUGGAGUGA
rnacentral:rRNA from 1 species